GCUUUGUUUACCUAAUCAAGCCUGGGCAAUGGCGGGCGCCCCUCCCCCCGCCUCGCUGCCGCCUUGCAGUUUGAUCUCAGACUGCUGUGCUAGCAAUCAGCGAGAUUCCGUGGGCGUAGGACCCUCCGAGCCAGUUCCCGAGAGAUCCCAUGAUCCAGAGACAAAGGUGGCAGCUUUGGAGCAAGUGGAGAGCCAGAAAAGGAUCCAGAACUGGAGUGGAAGAACAGCUGCUCUCUAGCCUACUUCAUUGACAGCACCAGCCAAGUGAAUAGGUCAGAGAAGAGAGAGACAGAGUCUCGCUAUGUUGCCCAGGCUUGUCUUGAACUCCUGCCUUCAAGCAAUCCUCCCACCUCAGCCUCUCAAAGUGCUGGCAUUACAGCUGAAGCUAUGCCAUCUUUUAUGUCUGAUGAGGCAGUUUCAUCUGAUUUGAAGAUGAUGAAGAAAAGUUCUUUGCAAGGUUGCUUAUUGAAUAUUACUGGGAAAACAGGAAAAUUAGGAGGAAUGUUCUGGAGUGAUUUAUCUUUUUCAUCAGGGGCCCGCGUUCAGUCCAGCCACCAGAUCAACACAUUCUCCAAACUCAUUAACUUUGGAGAGGCUACCCAGAGUUCCUGAAGAGUUCAUCUGAAAAAUGUUGAAAUAGUCACAGCCCAUGGAAUCAAUGUUUUGGGUGCACCAAUGAAGAGUUAAACAGUAUGCAUUUGACCACACAUACU
rnacentral:lncRNA from 1 species